ensembl:snRNA U6 U6 spliceosomal RNA
GUGCUCGCUUGGGCGGCACAUAUACUAAAAUGGGAACGAUACAGAGAAGAUUAGCCUGGCCCCGGCACACAAGGAUGACACACAAACUCCUGAAGCUUCCAUAUUUAAA